UCCUAUGUUCCACGUGGAUAGGAUACCUGGCUUUCACUCAGGAGGCCCGGGUUCGAUACACGGCGUGGGAA